UGGUGUGGCGGUGGUAGUCAUAGAGGGAAAGAGAUAAUGCGAGAGCUGACACUCUUGUGAAAAAGAGUUAACAAUGUUUAAAACGAAAAGUUCGUAGGAACAAUUACUGUUACAAUAUAAAUAAAGUCAUUUAAUUAAUAUAAAUCUAAUAAUUGAAUGGUUAAAUAAAUUAAAAAACAAUUAAAUAAAUAUAAAAAAUAAAAUGAAAAAAAUAUAAAUCAUUAUAGAAGUUAUAUUUAAGUGGUUGAAAAAUUAAAAAAAUACUUUAAAGGAAAAGGGUAUUUUAUUUAGGUGCAUGAUGGAGUCAUAGAUGGGUUGGAACGCUGAAUGGAUUAACACUUUUGUGAAAAGGAAUAAACAAUGUUAAAAAAAAUAAUCUUAGAAAAAGAAAAAAAGGCACAAAAGUAAGAAUAAAAAUAAAAAGAGAAGGCACUGUUACUAGAACAGUAACAAAAGAUUGCAUUUUAGUUUAUGUAAUAAUGUUGAUGCUAAGGGGGAGAUGGAUGUUAGAACACUUGAGGAAAAAAAGGUUAUUGUUUCAUGACCAACAAAUGAAGCAAAGUUGUUGUAUACCAUACAAUUUGAAAUGAAAGCAAAGGAUAAAAAUGUCAAGCUUUCAUAUAAAUGCAUAUUUCCAUUUUCACUAUAAUAGAAAGGGUGUGAGACGGGAGAAAGAAAACCAAGGAUGAAAAAUUUAUCAAUAUUUCGCAGUUCUCUUUUUUGGAAGAGGGAAGAAAAUAAAGAGAGAACAUUCUCAUAAAUAAUUAAGUAUGGAUCCUUUUGAUUCAAAAGUGGGGACAUGGUCACCUAGACACACUCUAUAUUGGCAAUCAUAUGUAGUGUUGAAAAGCAUGGGGUUUCGGCACAUUGCCGCCUGCGUGAUAGAGCAUAGGCAAGGGUUUCCACAUCAUGGAUG
rnacentral:misc_RNA from 1 species